rnacentral:rRNA from 1 species
AGGUAACGAAGUGGUUGAUGCCAUGCUUCCAAGAAAAGCUUCUAAGCUUCAGGUAACCAGGAACCGUACCCCAAACCGACACAGGUGGUUGGGUAGAGAAUACCAAGGCGCUUGAGAGAACUCGGGUGAAGGAACUAGGCAAAAUGGCACCGUAACUUCGGGAGAAGGUGCGCCGGUGAGGGUGAAGGACUUGCUCCGUAAGCUCAUGCCGGUCGAAGAUACCAGGCCGCUGCGACUGUUUAUUAAAAACACAGCACUCUGCAAACACGAAAGUGGACGUAUAGGGUGUGACGCCUGCCCGGUGCCGGAAGGUUAAUUGAUGGGGUUAGCUAACGCGAAGCUCUUGAUCGAAGCCCCGGUAAACGGCGGCCGUAACUAUAACGGUCCUAAGGUAGCGAAAUUCCUUGUCGGGUAAGUUCCGACCUGCACGAAUGGCGUAACGAUGGCGGCGCUGUCUCCACCCGAGACUCAGUGAAAUUGAAAUCGCUGUGAAGAUGCAGUGUAUCCGCGGCUAGACGGAAAGACCCCGUGAACCUUUACUAUAGCUUUGCACUGGACUUUGAAUUUGCUUGUGUAGGAUAGGUGGGAGGCUUUGAAGCGUGGACGCCAGUCUGCGUGGAGCCAUCCUUGAAAUACCACCCUGGCAACUUUGAGGUUCUAACUCAGGUCCGUUAUCCGGAUCGAGGACAGUGUAUGGUGGGUAGUUUGACUGGGGCGGUCUCCUCCUAAAGAGUAACGGAGGAGUACGAAGGUGCGCUCAGACCGGUCGGAAAUCGGUCGUAGAGUAUAAAGGCAAAAGCGCGCUUGACUGCGAGACAGACACGUCGAGCAGGUACGAAAGUAGGUCUUAGUGAUCCGGUGGUUCUGUAUGGAAGGGCCAUCGCUCAACGGAUAAAAGGUACUCCGGGGAUAACAGGCUGAUACCGCCCAAGAGUUCAUAUCGACGGCGGUGUUUGGCACCUCGAUGUCGGCUCAUCACAUCCUGGGGCUGAAGCCGGUCCCAAGGGUAUGGCUGUUCGCCAUUUAAAGUGGUACGCGAGCUGGGUUUAGAACGUCGUGAGACAGUUCGGUCCCUAUCUGCCGUGGACGUUUGAGAUUUGAGAGGGGCUGCUCCUAGUACGAGAGGACCGGAGUGGACGAACCUCUGGUGUUCCGGUUGUCACGCCAGUGGCAUUGCCGGGUAGCUAUGUUCGGAAUAGAUAACCGCUGAAAGCAUCUAAGCGGGAAACUAGCCUCAAGAUGAGAUCUCACUGGAACCUUGAGUUCCCUGAAGGGCCGUCGAAGACUACGACGUUGAUAGGUUGGGUGUGUAAGCGCUGUGAGGCGUUGAGCUAACCAAUACUAAUUGCCCGUGAGGCUUGACCAUAUAACACCCAAGCAAUU